GACGAACGCUGGCGGCGUGCCUAAUACAUGCAAGUAGAACGCUGAAGGAGGAGCUUGCUUCUCUGGAUGAGUUGCGAACGGGUGAGUAACGCGUAGGUAACCUGCCUGGUAGCGGGGGAUAACUAUUGGAAACGAUAGCUAAUACCGCAUAAGAGUAGAUGUCGCAUGACAUUUGCUUAAAAGGUGCAAUUGCAUCACUACCAGAUGGACCUGCGUUGUAUUAGCUAGUUGGUGAGGUAACGGCUCACCAAGGCAACGAUACAUAGCCGACCUGAGAGGGUGAUCGGCCACACUGGGACUGAGACGCGGCCCAGACUCCUACGGGAGGCAGCAGUAGGGAAUCUUCGGCAAUGGACGGAAGUCUGACCGAGCAACGCCGCGUGAGUGAAGAAGGUUUUCGGAUCGUAAAGCUCUGUUGUAAGAGAAGAACGAGUGUGAGAGUGGAAAGUUCACACUGUGACGGUAUCUUACCAGAAAGGGACGGCUAACUACGUG
rnacentral:rRNA from 1 species